rnacentral:misc_RNA from 1 species
GUGAAGAACGUAGCGAAAUGCGAUAAGUAAUGUGAAUUGCAGAAUUCAGUGAAUCAUCGAAUCUUUGAACGCACAUUGCGCCCGCCAGUAUUCUGGCGGGCAUGCCUGUUCGAGCGUCAUUUCAACCAUCAAGCUCUGCUUGCGUUGGGGAUCCGCGGCUGCCCGCGGUCCCUCAAAACCAGUGGCGGGCUCGCUAGUCACACCGAGCGUAGUAACUUUACAUCGCUAUGGUCGUGCGGCGGGUGCUUGCCGUAAAACCCCCCAAUUUUUAAGGUUGACCUCGGAUCAGGUAGGAAUACCCGCUGAACUUAAGCAUAUCAAUAAGCGAGGA